GAGUUUGAUCAUGGCUCAGAAUCAACGCUGGCGGCAUGCCUAACACAUGCAAGUCGAACGAUCUCUUCGGAGAUAGUGGCGCACGGGUGCGUAACGCGUGGGAAUCUGCCCUUGGGUUCGGAAUAACUUCGGGAAACUGAAGCUAAUACCGGAUGAUGACGUAAGUCCAAAGAUUUAUCGCCCAAGGAUGAGCCCGCGUAGGAUUAGCUAGUUGGUGGGGUAAAGGCUCACCAAGGCGACGAUCCUUAGCUGGUCUGAGAGGAUGAUCAGCCACACUGGGACUGAGACACGGCCCAGACUCCUACGGGAGGCAGCAGUGGGGAAUAUUGGACAAUGGGCGAAAGCCUGAUCCAGCAAUGCCGCGUGAGUGAUGAAGGCCUUAGGGUUGUAAAGCUCUUUUACCCGGGAUGAUAAUGACAGUACCGGGAGAAUAAGCUCCGGCUAACUCCGUGCCAGCAGCCGCCGU
rnacentral:rRNA from 1 species